CCUGUUGUGAGUUCCGCUGAUUUUUCAUUCACUUUAAAACUUUGCAUGUUUUCCAUUACGUUUUCAUCCUUUUCGUUUGCCAAAUCAUCAUCGUUUACAUCAUCUGGAUUGUCGUACCCAAAGAAACUGUCAAAUGAUGCACUGCUAACAAUAAACGAUUCCUCAUCAUAUGCAUUUUGAUCUUUUUUCAAAUACACACCAUCAGAGGGCAGAGUAUUGGUGUCACAGUAUAGGUUCACAGCUUUCGAAUUAUCAAUAGGAUGCGUUUGUUGUAAGCUUGGCCUUGUCCCUGGAAAAUUAAAGACACAAUGUAAAAUGAGCCAAUUUAACUUGUAUGCUGGCCUACUGAUGUGGUUUGUUGCGUGCACUGUUACAAUGAGAUGACGGCUUCUGAAUGAGAUAGUGUUUGUCAUUGCAAAGGUAGCAUAUGUCAAUUUUAAAGACUGAAAAGCCAAACAGUUGUCUUUUCUAAAGACUUUUAAAAAUUAUGUUUUAAAUUUCAUGUUCAUUGAUAUUUGAUACGAUAUAUACAAUAACGUUAACACGAAUUGUUAAAAACUAUAACAAAGUACAACCGCCAAAAAAAUCCGUCGACUUUUUUUUGCAAUGCAAUGGCUGGUGGCUGUCUCAUAGUUUCUAAAAUAAAAAUAGCGAAAUAGGGGUAUGAUUUUCACAGCUAUCCACAUAUAGUCCAAAUUAAGAUUGCUAUACAUUUUUUAUAAACAACUAAGAAUCCGACUUAUUCUUUAUUUAAAUGUAUGAAUUACUUGAUUGUUCUAGAAUUACAUAACGCAGCAUUGACAGAAAUCACCACAUACUAGAAAAAUUUUAUAUAGUGUAAAAUGUAAACCCACCUGUUGUGAGUUCCGCUGAUUUUUCAUUUACUUUAAAACUUUGCAGGUUUUCCAUUACGUUUUCAUCCUUUUCGUUUGGCAAAUCAGUGUCUUCACCAUCUGGAUUGUCGUACCCAAAGAAACUGUCAAAUGAUGCACUGCUAACAGGAAGCGAUUCUUCAUCAUUUGUAUUUUGAUCUUUUUCCAAAUACACACCAUGAGAGGGCAGAUCAUCUUUGUUAAAGCAUUGGUGCGCAGCUUUCGAAUUGUCAAUAAAAUCUUUCUGUUGUAAUCUUUGUCUUGUUCCUGGAAAAUAAAAAUAAAACACAAUAUGUAGAAUGGUGUCAAUUUACCUAGUAUGUUGGUCUACUGAUGUAGUUGGUUGCGUGCACCGUUACAUUGGGAUUAUUGCUUUUAAUGAAGCAGUCUUUGCCAUUUCAAUGGAGGCAUAUUUAGAUUUCAAAGACUGAUUAAAUGUAAGGUUCAAAUGACUAUGGCUAAAACACAUAGAAUUAUUCAAAAUUUCUCAUACCUAAUAUACUACAUUUAUUUCUUGUUUUAGCCUCUCCAGCCUCAAUUAAAUCAAUUAUUGAAUGGGCAUCAUCUGUUGCUCCACUAUCGUAUUUUAUAAGGCUUUCGACCUUGACAUCUUUCGUCAUUUUGGUUCCAUUUGAUUUGCUUUCUGUAUACGUUUCUUGAUUAUGAAUUGGUUCUUGUUUUUCGUCACAAACAUCUUUCUGUUCAACAGCUAGUUGAAAUCCAGUUACUAUGUGUAUUUCGGAAUCCCCUCCAUAAGGUUCUUCGCUGAAAUCCGAUUCAUACGGAGGGUAUUCCGAAUCAACUGUUUCUGCAACGGAGCUUUCUGAUUCCUCCUCACAAGUGUCCUUUCUUUUUGAAUCUACAUCAUUGAUAUAUUCAUUUGUUGUCGUUUCUUUGUUUUCCGUAUCGUAUCGUAAGUCGUUAUCACAUAUAGGUCCAAUCUGAAAUAAGCCCUUGCUUUCCUUCAGUGCUUUCUUCCGUUUUAAGUAUGCAUCAACGGCUAGGACCCAAUAAGCUGUGUUAAGUGAGCGUCUAUCUCUGUCUGCUUCUUCUCUUGCAGUCAUUUCAUCUGUGUCAGAAGAAGAUACUUCGUUUGCAAUUGCCAAAAAUGUUUGAUUCCUAAGUUCACCGUUUACUGCUUUCUGACAUUUUGCAAUUUCAAGUUCCAUGUUGUCUUUAUCGCAAUCGUCACUUUUGUUUAAUUCAUCCGGCUUAUAUCUUUCAUCGUUAUUAAGCCAAUAUUCAAAGUCAUCAUAGGUUUCGCAUGAACUUGAUUCUGAUACUGACCCAUGACUAUCAAGCACAUCAGACUGGUCAGAAAAUAUUUCCAUGCUCCUCUCGAUAUAUAUGUUUUCUGUAGUCUCAGCCAAUUGUAAGUCUUGUUUCCAUUUCUCAUUCAGUCUUCCUAAAAUGGUACGUUUAUAAGCCUGUUCUUUUUCAUCUAUUUCAUUAGUAAUAUAAACUUUCACUUGAGCUGUACGUUCUGAACCAGGAUUAGAAAUAUCACAUUUCUUAUU
rnacentral:lncRNA from 1 species